CGAGUUUGAUCAUGGCUCAGGAUGAACGCUAGCGGCAGGCUUAACACAUGCAAGUCGAACGGCAGCACAGGUAGCAAUACUGGGUGGCGAGUGGCGCACGGGUGCGUAACGCGUAUGCAACCUACCUUUAACUGGGAGAUAGCCCGAAGAAAUUCGGAUUAAUACCCCAUAAUAUAUGUCUUUCGCAUGUUAGACAUAUUAAAGCUUCGGCGGUUAAAGAUGGGCAUGCGUAACAUUAGCUAGUUGGUAAGGUAACGGCUUACCAAGGCUACGAUGUUUAGGGGGCCUGAGAGGGUUAUCCCCCACACUGGAACUGAGACACGGUCCAGACUCCUACGGGAGGCAGCAGUGAGGAAUAUUGGUCAAUGGACGAAAGUCUGAACCAGCCAUGCCGCGUGCAGGAAGACGGCCCUACGGGUUGUAAACUGCUUUUGUAUAGGAAUAAACCCCCGAACGUGUUCGGGGCUGAAGGUACUAUACGAAUAAGCACCGGCUAACUCCGUG
rnacentral:rRNA from 1 species